GACGAACGCUGGCGGCGUGCUUAACACAUGCAAGUCGAGCGGUAAGGCCCUUUCGGGGUACGACGAGCGGCGAACGGGUGAGUAACACGUGGGUGACCUGCCCUUACGCUCUGGGAUAAGCCUGGGAAACGUAGGGUCGUAAUACCGGAUAUGACUCCAUGACGCAUGCUGUGGGGUGGAAAGCCUUGUGCGGCUAGGGAUGGGCCCGCGGCCUAUCAGCUUGUUGGUGGGGUGAUGGCCUACCAAGGCGACGACGGGUAGCCGGCCUGAGAGGGCGACCGGCCACACUGGGACUGAGACACGGCCCAGACUCCUACGGGAGGCAGCAGUGGGGAAUCUUGCGCAAUGGGCGAAAGCCUGACGCAGCGACGCCGCGUGAGGGAUGACGGCCUCGG
rnacentral:rRNA from 1 species